AUUGAACGCCGGCGGCAUGCCUUACACAUGCAAGUCGAACGGUAACGCGGGGCAACCUGGCGACGAGUGGCGAACGGGUGAGUAAUGUAUCGGAACGUGCCCAGUUGUGGGGGAUAACUGCUCGAAAGAGCAGCUAAUACCGCAUACGACCUGAGGGUGAAAGCGGGGGAUCGCAAGACCUCGCGCAAUUGGAGCGGCCGAUAUAAGAUUAGGUAGUUGGUGGGGUAAAGGCUCACCAAGCCAACGAUCUGUAGCUGGUCUGAGAGGAAGACCAGGCAAACGGGGACAGAGACACGGCCCAGACUCCUACGGGAGGCAGCAGUGGGGAAUUUUGGACAAUGGACGCAAGUCUGAUCCAGCCAUGCCGCGUGCGGGAAGAAGGCCUUCGGGUUGUAAACCGCUUUUGUCAGGGAAGAAACGCUCUGGGUUAAUACCUCGGGGUAAUGACGGUACCUGAAGAAUAAGCACCGGCUAACUACGUGCCAGCAGCCGCCGUAAUAC
rnacentral:rRNA from 1 species